ACGCUGGCGGCGUGCCUAAUACAUGCAAGUAGAACGCUGAAGGAGGAGCUUGCUUCUCCGGAUGAGUUGCGAACGGGUGAGUAACGCGUAGGUAACCUGCCUGGUAGCGGGGGAUAACUAUUGGAAACGAUAGCUAAUACCGCAUAACAGUAGAUGUUGCAUGACAUUUGCUUAAAAGGUGCAAUUGCAUCACUACCAGAUGGACCUGCGUUGUAUUAGCUAGUUGGUGGGGUAACGGCUCACCAAGGCGACGAUACAUAGCCGACCUGAGAGGGUGAUCGGCCACACUGGGACUGAGACACGGCCCAGACUCCUACGGGAGGCAGCAGUAGGGAAUCUUCGGCAAUGGACGGAAGUCUGACCGAGCAACGCCGCGUGAGUGAAGAAGGUUUUCGGAUCGUAAAGCUCUGUUGUAAGAGAAGAACGAGUGUGAGAGUGGAAAGUUCACACUGUGACGGUAUCUUACCAGAAAGGGACGGCUAACUACGUGCCAGCAGCCGCGGUAAUACGUAGGUCCCGAGCGUUGUCCGGAUUUAUUGGGCGUAAAGCGAGCGCAGGCGGUUAGAUAAGUCUGAAGUUAAAGGCUGUGGCUUAACCAUAGUACGCUUUGGAAACUGUUUAACUUGAGUGCAAGAGGGGAGAGUGGAAUUCCAUGUGUAGCGGUGAAAUGCGUAGAUAUAUGGAGGAACACCGGUGGCGAAAGCGGCUCUCUGGCUUGUAACUGACGCUGAGGCUCGAAAGCGCGGGGAGCAAACAGGAUUAGAUACCCUGGUAGUCCACGCCGUAAACGAUGAGUGCUAGGUGUUAGACCCUUUCCGGGGUUUAGUGCCGCAGCUAACGCAUUAAGCACUCCGCCUGGGGAGUACGACCGCAAGGUUGAAACUCAAAGGAAUUG
rnacentral:rRNA from 1 species